rnacentral:tRNA from 1 species
AAUAUUGGAAUGCUAACCCCUGGUUUCGGCCCAAGCACAGGCAAUACUUGCCCAUUCCGU